GUCACGGUUUCUCCUUAGCGUGUCACUUUGUCACCUAACACUAGUGUUUAUCAUUGUGAUGAAAGGUAGUAGGUAGGUAAGUAAGUAGGUAGGUCACCUGGGGAGUCUAGGCGAGGCUAUAAAUUCAAUCGUACAUAACUGAACCGAAAUACAGUGAUGUUACCUACAUAUAUAGUUUUGAACAGCUAAAAAUAAAAACCCUCUGACUCUCCAAGAAUAAUAGGUAGGUAGGUAUCCAUAUUAUUGGAAGAAAAUAGUAGAAAACUUCGCUGAUGAAGUGGGUAACACUGUUCGAGGGUGAGUGACGAAAAUUACCUUUUUUACUUUUUGAACUUGUUAACAUUUUUUGGUUAAAUGUACCAACCUUUGUGAAUACGUUAAUUUGGUAAGUAGGUAUAAAUCUCAAAAUAUACUUAAUUUAAUAUAACUAGGUUAUUAUUAGUUUGACCCCAUAAACAUGUUCUUACCUACCUAGCAGCCUAUCAAUAGUAUCGACAUUUCAUCUAAUCUACUACAAUACUAUCGAUAAUAUCGGGGUUUUUUUUCUUUAACUAUCGAUAGUUAAGUAAACAAUCGAUAGUGGCUUAUCACACCACUACAGAUUUUAGUGCUACUGCCGAAGGAAAAAGUCGUAGUCGAGGCAAUCAAAAUUAUUUGGCAAAGCUACCUUAACUAAGUAUAAGCAUAAAAUAAUCCGUAAGUAUUUAGAAAUAAGAAAAUGGAAACUUAUGAAUUUAUUGAAUGAAAAAAAGUUUAAAUAGACAAAGACAAGACAGAUGCACAAUGUACGACCAUAGAGGUCAGUAAGUUUUUGUUUACUCACUGAAAUACUUAGAAUGAUUAUCUAUUGAAUCAGUUAUUAGAACUAGAUAUAAAACCAAAGCACUAUUAAAAUUAAGAAUAUUGUACUUAUAGGUACCUAAGUAGGUAAGUACCUUUUUAUUUCUAUCACUUGUUAUUCACCUUCACAAUGUUUCCAAGCACUCAGAACUUAGUUUCCUUUAUUAUAGAACACUUAAAGAACUUACAGCCUGGCAAAAAAGAUUAGAAAACUGAAAUGGAAACUCAAUAA